rnacentral:rRNA from 1 species
UACGUAGGGUGCAAGCGUUGUCCGGAAUUAUUGGGCGUAAAGAGUUCGUAGGCGGUCUGUCGCGUCGGCUGUGAAAUCCCGAGGCUCAACCUCGGGUCUGCAGUCGAUACGGGCAAACUGGAGUGUUGCAGGGGAGACUGGAAUUCCUGGUGUAGCGGUGAAAUGCGCAGAUAUCAGGAGGAACACCGGUGGCGAAGGCGGGUCUCUGGGCAACAACUGACGCUGAGGAGCGAAAGCGUGGGGAGCGAACAGG